rnacentral:ncRNA from 1 species
UGGAUUGCCCCAGCUAUGGCAGGCAUCGCGGCCGCCCGCGGGGAACCAUUCAGGUGGCUGGUCCCGCCUGGGGUUGCACUGGGCCUCGCCUGCAUUGCUGCUCCUGGCCGCGCACGCACGUGCGCACAGGUUCCCCGCCCCCCUCCCCCCCACAGGACCGCCCCUGGGGCUGUGGUUCCGAGUGGCCCCUCGCCCUGGCUGGCACCUAGCAGCCAGCUUCGAGCUGGUGCAGACCAGGGGAAUCUGACUGUUUAAUUCCAACAAAGCAUCCUGAAGGCCCGCAGCGGGUGUUGACACGACGUGAUUUCUGCCCAGUGCUCUGAAUGUCAAAGUGAAGAAAUUCAAUGAAGCGCGGGUCAAGGGUGGCAGCAACUAUGACUCUCUUAAGGUAGCCAAAUUCCUCGUCAACUAAUUAGUGAGGUGCAUGAAUGGAUGAACGAGAUUCCCACUGUCCAUACCUCCUAUCCAGCCAAACCACAGCCAAGGGAUCCGGCUUGG